UGGUCAAGUUAUUAAGGGUGCAGGGCGGAUGCCUUGGCACUAGGAGCCGAUGAAGGACGUGAUAAGCUGCGAUAAGCUUCGGGGAGUUGCACGUAAACUUUGAUCCGAAGAUUUCCGAAUGAGGAAACUCACUUAGAGUAAUGUCUAAGUAUCAUUAAGUGAAUACAUAGCUUAAUGAGGGGAACUCAGGGAACUGAAACAUCUAAGUACCUGAAGGAAGAGAAAGAAAUUCGAUUCCGUAAGUAGCGGCGAGCGAACGCGGAUUAGCCCAAACCAAUAAAGUUUUCUUUAUUGGGGUUGCGGACAUAUCAUAACGAAGAGGUAUCGUAAUUGAAGAGGUUUGGAAAGACCCACCACAGAAGGUAAUAGUCCUGUAUGUUAAACGAGAAGACUUUAGAUAUGAUCCAGAGUACCACGGGACACGUGAAACCCUGUGGGAAGCAGGAGGGACCACCCUCCAAGGCUAAAUACUACCUAGUGACCGAUAGCGUAUAGUACCGUGAGGGAAAGGUGAAAAGAACCCCGGGAGGGGAGUGAAAUAGAACCUGAAACCCUGCACUUACAAGCUGUGGAAGCACAUUUCUUGUGUGACCGCGUACUUUUUGUAGAACGGGCCAACGAGUUACGUUAAGUAGCAAGGUUAAGCACUUAAGGUGCGGAGCCGUAGCGAAAGCGAGUUUUAACUGAGCGUUCAGUUACUUGACGUAGACCCGAAACCGGGCGACCUACCCAUGAGCAGGAUGAAGCGAAAGUAAAAUUUCGUGGAGGUCCGAACCCACGAGCGUUGAAAAGCUCGGGGAUGACUUGUGGGUAGCGGUGAAAUUCCAAUCGAGCCCGGAGAUAGCUGGUUCUCCCCGAAAUAGCUUUAGGGCUAGCCUCAAGGUGAGAGAUACGGAGGUAGAGCACUGAAUGUCCUAGGGGGUAUUGCACCUACCGAAGACUAUCAAACUCCGAAUGCCGUCAUCUUAUACUUGGGAGUCAGACUGUGGGUGAUAAGAUUCAUAGUCGAAAGGGCAACAGCCCAGAUCGUCAGCUAAGGUCCCUAAAUGUAAGUUAAGUGGUAAAGGAUGUGGGAUUGCACAGACAACCAGGAUGUUGGCUUAGAAGCAGCCACUCAUUCAAAGAGUGCGUAAUAGCUCACUGGUCGAGUGAUCCUGCGCCGAAGAUUUCCGGGGCUAAAACUUACUACCGAAGCUACGGCAUCAGUAAUGAUGGGUAGGGGAGCUUCCCAUACGGGUUGAAGCAUGACCGUAAGGACAUGUGGACAGUAUGGGAGUGAGAAUGUUGGCAUGAGUAGCGAGAUGUGGGUGAGAAUCCCACAGGCCGUAAACCCAAGGUUUCCAGGGGAAGGUUCGUCCGCCCUGGGUUAGUCGGGACCUAAGCUGAGGCCGAAAGGCGUAGGUGAUGGACAACAGGUUGAUAUUCCUGUACUACCGAUAACCGUUUGAGAGAAGGGAUGACACAGUAGGAUAAGCUAAGCACACUGUUGGUUAUGUGUGCCCAAGCAUUGAGGCAGUCAAAGUAGGUAAAUCCGCUUUGAUAAUGCUGGGAUGUGAUGGGGAGCGAAAUUUAGUAGCGAAGUAGCUGAUUUCACACUGUCAAGAAAAGUCUCUAUCGAGGUUAAAGGUACCCGUACCGCAAACCGACACAGGUGGGUGAGGAGAGUAUCCUAAGGCCAGCGAGAGAACUGUUGUUAAGGAACUCGGCAAAAUGACCCCGUAACUUAGGGAUAAGGGGUGCCACCAUCAGGUGGCCGCAGAGAAUAGGCCCAAGCGACUGUUUACCAAAAACAUAGGUUUCUGCUAAGUCGCAAGACGAUGUAUAGGAGCUGACGCCUGCCCGGUGCUGGAAGGUUAAGGGGAUCUGUUAGAGCAAUCGAAGCAGUGAACUUAAGCCCCAGUAAACGGCGGCCGUAACUAUAACGGUCCUAAGGUAGCGAAAUUCCUUGUCGGGUAAGUUCCGACCCGCACGAAAGGCGUAACGAUUUGGGCACUGUCUCAACAACAGACUCGGUGAAAUUGUAAUUCCGGUGAAGAUGCCGGAUACCUGCGACAGGACGGAAAGACCCCAUGGAGCUUUACUGUAGCUUGACAUUGGGUCUUGGUACUACAUGUACAGGAUAGGUGGGAGGCUUUGAAACCAGGACGCCAGUUUUGGCGGAGCCAUCCUUGGGAUACCACCCUUGUAGUACUGGGACUCUAACCAUAGGCCAUGAAUCUGGUCUUGGGACACUGUCAGGUGGGCAGUUUGACUGGGGCGGUCGCCUCCCAAAAGGUAACGGAGGCGCUCAAAGGUUCUCUCAGUACGGUCGGAAAUCGUACGUAGAGUGUAAAGGCAAAAGAGAGCUUGAUUGCAAGACAUACAGGUCGAGCAAGGAUGAAAAUCGGACUUAGUGAUCCGGUGGUUCUGCGUGGAAGGGCCAUCGCUCAACGGAUAAAAGCUACCCUGGGGAUAACAGGCUUAUCUCCCCCAAGAGUCCACAUCGACGGGGAGGUUUGGCACCUCGAUGUCGGCUCAUCACAUCCUGGGGCUGUAGUAGGUCCCAAGGGUUGGGCUGUUCGCCCAUUAAAGUGGUACGCGAGCUGGGUUCAGAACGUCGUGAGACAGUUCGGUCCCUAUCCGUCGCAGGCGUAGGAAAUUUGAGAAGACCUGUCCUUAGUACGAGAGGACCGGGAUGGACGUACCUCUGGUGUACCAGUUGUUCUGCCAAGGGCAUGGCUGGGUAGCUAUGUACGGAAUGGAUAAGCGCUGAAAGCAUCUAAGCGCGAAGCCAACUUCAAGAUAAGAUUUCCCACCGCAAGGGUAAGACCCCAGAAAGACUAUCUGGUUGAUAGGUCGAAGGUGUAAGUGCAGCAAUGUAUUUAGCUUAUCGAUACUAAUAGGUCGAGGACUUGACCAAU
rnacentral:rRNA from 1 species